GACGAACGCUGGCGGCGUGCUUAACACAUGCAAGUCGAACGGAAAGGCCCUGCUUUUGUGGGGUGCUCGAGUGGCGAACGGGUGAGUAACACGUGAGUAACCUGCCCUUGACUUUGGGAUAACUUCAGGAAACUGGGGCUAAUACCGGAUAGGAGCUCCUGCUGCAUGGUGGGGGUUGGAAAGUUUCGGCGGUUGGGGAUGGACUCGCGGCUUAUCAGCUUGUUGGUGGGGUAGUGGCUUACCAAGGCUUUGACGGGUAGCCGGCCUGAGAGGGUGACCGGCCACAUUGGGACUGAGAUACGGCGCAGACUCCUACGGGAGGCAGCAGUGGGGAAUAUGGCACAAUGGGCGGAAGCCUGAUGAAGAGACGCCGCGUGCGGGAUGACGGCCUUGGGGUUGUAAACCGCUUUCGCCUGUGACGAAGCGUGAGUGACGGUAAUGGGUAAAGAAGCACCGGCUAACUACGUG
rnacentral:rRNA from 1 species